UGGUGGAGCGAUUUGUCUGGUCAAUUCCGAUAACGAACGAGACUCUGGCCUAUUAAAUAGUUCGCCGAUUCCGAUCUGUCGGCGUUAACUUCUUAGAGGGACAAGUGGCUUUUAGCCACGCGAGAUUGAGCAAUAACA
rnacentral:rRNA from 1 species